UGCAAAACACUAAAACUCUCCCUAGGGUGAAUACUGUGCUGAAGCCAGGAUCUUGUCCUCCCUGGGAAGAAGAAACAAGAUGGCUGCCUUCCCAAUGUCCCCAGAGUGGUUGGUGACAACUCAAUAAUGACUCUUCCUUAAUGGUAUGAAGAGAGGAAUUGUAAGAUUAUGAGGAAACUUGCCACAAUCAUCCAAGAACUUAAAAUAUCCAUUUGAAGUCUGGGAAGUGGAGCCAGGAAGCACGUUGUGGAUGGGCACUCCUGGAAGAGAGCAUCUCCAUGUGCCUAGAAGGAGAAGAGCUUUGCAAUUCUUUUCUAUGAACCAUGUGACGAAGAUGUACCAAGAACUGCUUCUAUCAGUGAAGGAGACAGCCUGGUUUCAGAGGAAAUGCAUUUACAGUGAUUCUUUGCUUUUAGACAUUCAGCAAAAGAGUGCUGUGACGAGAACUGAGCAGAACAUCAGCUCAUCAGAAGCAGUGACAUCCAAGAGCCCAGAGGAGCCUGAAGAACAAUUGAGAGAAGCCUCCUUUGCCAACGCGUUGCCCACCAGGGCUGCACGUGGUACCCCUGCUCCAAGAUGCUUCCCAAAAACACCAGGCAAUCUACAAAACAAUAAAUCAAGCCCUGAUUUUGUAGUGUUUGCCUAUUGCCAUGAUAUAAACGCUCCCACCAUGGCUGAUGUCAAGCGAGGUGAUGUCACUGAAUAUGGAGUUGGAAAGCGAUGCACAACAGCACAUCAUAACAGUGUUUACAUGAUACAGAUGCAAUAGAUGUAAAUAAUCCCAAGAGCAUAGAUGAUAGUAAAAGGUAGCAAAACAAUAGGGAAGUGAUGCGUUUUGUUGUUUAGAGACAGGGUCUCACUGUGUUGCCCAGGCUGGUGUCAAACUCCUGGGCUCAAGAAAUCGUCCUGCCUCAGCCUCCCGAGUAUCUGGGACUAUCGGUGCCCACCACUGUGCCCAGCUUGAAGAGAUGAGUUUUGAGUCUUUUUUUAUCUUUGUUUUUAGUAUAACUUAUUUAAUUAUAGGUUUAUAUAAUUUAAUUUUUGAAAACAAUGGUGGUGCUUCACAACUGGCUUGCAGAAUUCCUUAGAGCAUGACAAUUGGUUCUUCCAAUUUGGCACAAGCCAGCCUCAGCACCUCUACAUCUACCUCAGACCUCCAAGGCAGGAUUCUGGGGAAUGAACUAGGGGAUUCAUGGGAUUCACAAAGGCAGGGCACGGCUGGUGCAGAAUCAGACAUCCCAAAGUACACAUGGCUGCAUUGCAGAAGGCAUCACAUGGAUGCACACUCACACGCACUCUGCACACACCCCUUCCUGCUUCCCUAACCCACUCUGCACUGAGAAGUGGGAACCGUUUCUUCUGUGCCCACAAGGUGGUCAGCGCCCUGCUCAAUGAGCACAAUGAGGGACCUCAAAAGUCCUGGGCAGCUGAUGCUUCUGAUCUCUGCUCUCUGGGCCUCAGUUCCCUGGCAGAGAGUCCCAUGGAAUUAAUCACCAUUCCCUGAGCCUCUUUGCCAGGCACUGGACUGGUCUCUGAGGAGAGAGGUGAGUUGGCCACAGCCUGGAAAACCAGGAAACUCUGGAGCUCCAAGAAACCACCUGAGUGAGCCAAGGACUGGGACAGAGAAGGGGACGUGAAGGGGAGCCUGACUCCCACACUUGCUUCCUCCUGGGUAAAUCAUCACACCUCGCCUGGCUUCAGUUCCUCAUUUUAAAAAAGGGCUGAUACAACCUACCUCGUAAGAUUCUAGUAAAGGUUGAGUUAGGUAAUAUAAAAUAGCAGAGUACCUGGGACAUAGGGACACAAUAAAGUGACACCAAUCAGUGAAAGCUACUAUCAUAGGUUUAACUUACUACUACAGAGUGAUCAUGUUAGGACCAAAAAAAGCAGAAGGAUGUGGGAGACGCCACCCCGCCCCUGCCGGCAAAGACGAUCAGUGGCACAUGUUGGAGAAUGGAGGGAGGAAUAUAGAUAACUGUGUUCUAGAUGCAGCAUGUAGGUGUAUGUUGCUCUUCAGAUUGGCCCUCAUUGUAUUUAUCCUUUAAAAUAAAAAUUUAAUUGACACAUUGUAAUUCUACAUAUUUAUGGAACACAAUUUGAUGUUUUGGUUUAUGCAUGUGCUGUACAAUGAUCAAAUCUGGAUAGUUAGUAUACCUAUUGUCUUACACAUUUAUCAUUUAUUUAUGUUAAGAACAUUAAAAACCUCUGCUUCAGCUAUUUUGUAGUAUACAAUACCUGACUGUUAGCUAGAGUUACCCUCCUGUGCAAUAGAACACCAGAAUUUAUUAAUCUUAUUUAAUUAUCACUUCAUACCCAUUCACCAACUUCUCCCCAUUCUUCCUUCUCCCAUUCCCUCCCUGGUUUCUGGUAACUACUGUUCUACUUCUGUAUCACCUUUUUAAAAGAUUCUGCAUAUGAGUAAGAUUUGGUAUUUGUCUUUCUGUGUCUGGCUUAUUUCACUUAACAUAAUGUCCUCCGGGCUCGUGCAUGUUGUUGCAAAUGAUAGGAUUGCAUUCUUUUUUAUGGCUCAAUAGUAUUCCACUGUGUAUGCACCACAAUUUCUUUAUCCAUUCAUUUGUUGUUGAACACAUGGGUUGAUUCUGUACCUUGGCUAUUGUGAAUAGUGCUGCAGUAAACAUGGGAGUGCAAAUACCUCUUUGAUAUACUGAUUUCAUUUUCUUUGGAUAAAUACCCAUACUGGGGGUUGCUGG